rnacentral:rRNA from 1 species
GAUGAACGCUGACAGAGUGCUUAACACAUCAGCAAUUGUUUGAAUGCGGACGGGUGAGUGACGCGUAGAGAACUUGCCGCACGGGUAGGAACAACAUUUGGAAACGAAUGCUAAUACCUAAUAAGGUGAGAGAGCUUUGCGUCCCAUUGGAUAGUGGGAGAGGUAACGGCUCACCAAGGCGAGGAUGGGUAGCCGGCCUGAGAGGGUGAUCGGCCCCAAGGGGCCUGAGAAGCGGUCAUUACGCCAACGGGAGGCAGCAGUGGGGAAUAUGGGACAAAGGACCAAAGACUGAUGAAGGAAUUCGGUGUGUACGACGAAGUUUUAGGAAUGUAAAGUGAUUUUAGUAGGGAAGCGGUACCAAAAGAAGAAGUGACGGCUAAAUACGUGCCAGCAGCCGCGGUAAUUC